AAAGGUGCCUGAGCCGGCGGGUCCCCUGUGUCCGCCGCGGCUGUCGUCCCCCGCUCCUGCCACUUCCGGGGUCGCAGUCCCGGGCAUGGAGCCGCGACCGUGAGGCGCCGCUGGACCCGGGACGACCUGCCCAGCCCGGCCGCCGCCCCACGUCCCGGUCUGUGUCCCACGCCUGCAGCUGGAAUGGAGGCUCUCUGGACCCUUUAGAAGGCACCUCUGCCCUCCUGAGGUCAGCUGAGCGGUUAAUGCGGAAGGUUAAGAAACUGCGCCUGGACAAGGAGAACACCGGAAGUUGGAGAAGUCCCUGCUGUCCACUCCCGCGGGUUUUCCCACUUCCUCCAAGCAAGCAGCGACUUCCCCAAGCUAAGCUGUUGGUCCCGGAGGACAGGGCUUCUGGCAAGCUUCUCGCUGAAUUCCGAGGGGGCUGAGAGGAUGGCCACCACCGGGACCCCAACGGCCGACCGAGGCGACGCAGCCACCACAGAUGACCCGGCCGCCUGCUUCCAGGUGCAGAAGCACUCGUGGGACGGGCUCCGGAGCAUCAUCCACGGC
rnacentral:sRNA from 1 species